UCAAAUCUUCUGUUGAGGCUUCACAUUCCAAUAAGCCAUCUGGGAUUGAAUUAAAAGUGAAGUGAGGGUACUUUGAUGAGUUGAGAGAGUUGAAAUUAGUGUGGAUGACACUGAUGGAAAAGUCUUUAGAAUAAAGGAUAUUGGCAAGUUGAAUCAUAGGAUUUAUGUGACCUUGCAAGGGCAAUGGAAAGAGUAUUACUCUGAUACCCUUUCUUUGCUGCAUGAGACUCUCUAAUGUUCUCCAUGUUUCUUUUCUUUUCUUCUAUUUUCCUUUGUUUCCUGCGUUCUUCCAAGCCUGUUGCUUCUCAUGUACCAUGCGGACACCAGUAUAGCCUGUACCAGGCAAUUGUGGAUUUUGUAACGGUAUAAUCAGUUUG
rnacentral:misc_RNA from 1 species